rnacentral:rRNA from 1 species
CAGCGGCGGACGGGUGAGUAACACGUGAGCAACCUGCCUUUCAGAGGGGGACAACAGUUGGAAACGACUGCUAAUACCGCAUAACACAUUCGAACGGCAUCGUUUGAAUAUCAAAGGAGCAAUCCGCUGAAAGAUGGGCUCGCGUCUGAUUAGAUAGUUGGUGAGGUAACGGCCCACCAAGUCGACGAUCAGUAGCCGGACUGAGAGGUUGAUCGGCCACAUUGGGACUGAGACACGGCCCAGACUCC